AGCCUUCUGAAUCCCUGCCGAGACUUCAUCAGACACCAGAGCAACAGGACUGAUGAGACUCACAAGAUAAGUGAGGUG
rfam:Schistosoma mansoni strain Puerto Rico chromosome 3, complete genome